GAUGAAGAACGCAGCGAAAUGCGAUAAGUAAUGUGAAUUGCAGAAUUCAGUGAAUCAUCGAAUCUUUGAACGCACAUUGCGCCCCCUGGUAUUCCGGGGGGCAUGCCUGUUCGAGCGUCAUUUCACCACUCAAGCCUCGCUUGGUAUUGGGCAACGCGGUCCGCCGCGUGCCUCAAAUCGACCGGCUGGGUCUUCUGUCCCCUAAGCGUUGUGGAAACUAUUCGCUAAAGGGUGUUCGGGAGGCUACGCCGUAAAACAACCCCAUUUCUAAGGUUGACCUCGGAUCAGGUAGGGAUACCCGCUGAACUUAAGCAUAUCAAUAAGCGGGAGGA
rnacentral:misc_RNA from 1 species